AACAGCUCCGACUGUCAGUGCCGGCCUUCCUCGUGGAAGGGGAUCUGCCGGACCCUUACUAAUUCAAUUUCUUUCCCAUUCCGGGCCCUUCCCUAUCGUCGCCCCCUUCACCUUGGAUCAUGUUCAAGAAAUUUGAUGAAAAAGAAAAUGUGUCCAACUGCAUCCAGUUGAAAACUUCAGUUAUUAAGUGUAUUAGUAACCAAUUAAUGGAGCAAUUUCCAGGUAUUGAACCCUGGCUUAAUCAAAUCAUGCCUAAGAAAGAUCCUGUCAAAAUAGUCCGAUGCCAUGAACAUAUAGAAAUCCUUACAGUAAAUGGAGAAUUACUAUGUUUUAGACAACGAGAGGGGCCUUUUUACCCAACCCUAAGGUUACUUCACAAAUAUCCUUUUAUCCUGCCACACCAGCAGGUUGAUAAAGGAGCCAUCAAAUUUGUACUCAGUGGAGCAAUAUCAUGUGCCCAGGCUUAACUUCUCCUGGAGCUAAGCUUGACCCUGCUGCAGUAGACACCAUUGUGGCUACCAUGGCAGAAGGAACACAGCAUGCUCUAUGUGUUGGAGUCAUGAAGAUGUCUGCAGAAGAUAUUGAGAAAAUCAACAAAGGAAUUGGCAUUGAAAAUAUCCAUUAUUGAAAUAGAUGGGCUGUGGCAUAUAAAGAACAAUGAAUGA